rnacentral:lncRNA from 1 species
UAAGAAGUACUUAUCGUGAUAGUUGCAAAUGAACUCAGACCAGAUCUUCGGAUCGCAGUGAUAGCUGGACCUGAUAGAUGGCUCUGCCCGAGCGGUAAAUCUCAGCAGAGAAGCUCGGUGGAGGUUGCCCAGUCGCUGGCGGAGGAGCUCAGGGGAGAUUGGAAGUUCAGCAGACUCAAGAGGUCGGCGGAGAUUCAAGAGUUCAGCGGAGCUUCGCAGCAGGCCUAGAGCUCGGCGGAGCGGAGGAUGGUGGAGAUGUGACCGGACUGGAAUUUGCGAUGGCUGAGUUUGGGGGUCAGCGGUGUACAGUCCGGCGGAGACGGCAAUGUUGUUUGCUAGCGGCGGAGGCUCGAUGCCGGCGGGGGUGGCUGGCGGCGGUCCUGGAACUCAGCGGAGGCCGGCGGAGCCUAGUCUAGCGGUUUCUCCUAGCGGCGUUGUGGCUGGCGGAGCUUUGCCGGCGGAGGUUGCUAGCGGUCAGCGGGGUGUGCAGCGGAGACGUGCGCGGCAGUGGGCGGAGCAUUUGGCCCGUGGUGCUUGAAGAACAUGGGUUCUUGGCGGAGGUUUUGUUUAGCGGAAAAACUCAGCGGAGGAAGCUUUGAGGUUGCCGCUGAUUGUUGCCGGCACGUUGGUGUGCUAGUUGACGAGCUUGUCAUUGACGGAGGGCGUAAUAUUGACGGACCAUAAAUACCGCUGGGUCGCUGCCACGUUCGCUACCCGCUGACGAAGAAGGUUGGCGGUACAAGGCCGUCAGACAUUUAUGGAGCCCAAGCUUGGCAGUGGAGUCCAGCGGAGCACUCGAUGGAGUUGGGCGGAGCGGAGCCGCUAGUGCUAGCGGAGGUUCCGAGCUGGCGGAGCUGCAAGUUGGGCGGAGCGGAGGAGAGAAGAAGAGUUUGGCGGAGGUGG